rnacentral:rRNA from 1 species
UACGGAGGGUGCGAGCGUUGUUCGGAAUCACUGGGCGUAAAGGGCGUGUAGGCGGUCCGCUAAGUCUGAUGUGAAAGCCCGGGGCUCACCCCCGGAAGUGCAUUGGAAACUGGCGGACUCGAGUCCCGGAGAGGAGAAUGGAACUCCUGGUGUAGCGGUGAAAUGCGCAGAUAUCAGGAAGAACACCCGUGGCGAAGGCGGUUCUCUGGGACGGUACUGACGCUGAGACGCGAAAGCGUGGGGAGCGAACAGG